CUAAAUUUUUCCUAAAUUAGGGAAAAUGGUUGGGAAGCUGCUGCUAGUGCUCUUAGUAGUGCAUCUACAAGUAUGAUUAAUAUUGUUUAAACUUCUUAUUUUUAAUCAAUGUUAUGGACUUGAUAUGCAUAUAGUCAAAUUUUUUAAUGUUUUCAUUACUUGUAGCAAAUGCGACAACGAUUGCUCCGCUGUCGCCUAUUGGACGACAGCUGAGCCAGUACUCUCUCGUUGGGACACCAUCGCCUGCUACACUGUCCCUUGCACAUCAAUCGCCUGUUGGCGAGUACACGCCUGGUCGUCCUGUUGGAAUCACGGGAUAGGAUUGGUCGUCCUGGGUGCAUCAUGGUUGCAUGGAGUUUGUAAGGAGAAUCCCUUGGCA